rnacentral:tRNA from 1 species
AGUCUUAUAUUCAACAAUGAUAUUAAAUUGCAAAUUUAAAGGAAUAAUUUUUAAUUAUUAAGACUU